GGCCAGAUAGCUCAGUCGGUAGAGCAGGGGAUUGAAAAUCCCCGUGUCGGGGGUUCGAUUCCCUCUCUGGCCACCA
rnacentral:tRNA from 12 species